rnacentral:lncRNA from 1 species
CAACAAUUGAUGUACCAGUUGUCAUAGGUGCUCUGCAAAAAUACAUACAUUCAAGUACAAAUUGUUAUAAUCUUAGGUUAUAUCCUCUAUAGUCAACAUUUUUAAAACGAAAUUAAACUUACUGUGAUCUUUGACGUAUUCCCUGAUCGACGGAUUGAUUGACGUUCCCAGGAAAAUUAUAAAAACAGCCCGGUGAAGGACCAUUUUGCCAAAAAGGUGCAGGAGCAGACCAAGCGUUAUUCCCAGAAA